rnacentral:rRNA from 1 species
UACGAAGGGUGCAAGCGUUACUCGGAAUUACUGGGCGUAAAGCGUGCGUAGGUGGUUCGUUAAGUCUGAUGUGAAAGCCCUGGGCUCAACCUGGGAAUGGCAUUGGAAACUGGCGACCUAGAGUGCGGUAGAGGGCAGUGGAAUUCCCGGUGUAGAGGUGAAAUGCGUAGAUAUCAUUUGGAACGCCAAUGGUGAAAACAGGUAGCUGGGAGUGUGCUGACACUGAGACACGAAAGCCAGGGGAGCGAACGGG